rnacentral:rRNA from 1 species
CGCGUAGGCGGCGGAGCAAGUGUGACGUGAAAGCCCUCGGCUUAGCCGGGAAGGGCGUUGCAAACUGCUGGGCUAGAGUGCCGGAGGGGGAGGCGGAAUUCCUGGUGGAGCGGUGAAAUGCGUAGAGAUCAGGAAGAACGUCGGUGGCGAAGGCGGCCUCCUGGACGGACACUGACGCUGAGGUGCGAGAGCGUGGGGAGCGAACG